GAUGAACGCUGGCGGCGUGCCUAAUACAUGCAAGUCGAGCGAACAGACGAGGAGCUUGCUCCUCUGACGUUAGCGGCGGACGGGUGAGUAACACGUGGAUAACCUACCUAUAAGACUGGGAUAACUUCGGGAAACCGGAGCUAAUACCGGAUAACAUGUUGAACCGCAUGGUUCAACAGUGAAAGACGGUUUUGCUGUCACCUAUAGAUGGAUCCGCGUCGCAUUAGCUAGUUGGUAAGGUAACGGCUUACCAAGGCAACGAUGCGCAGCCGACCUGAGAGGGUGAUCGGCCACACUGGAACUGAGACACGGUCCAGACUCCUACGGGAGGCAGCAGUAGGGAAUCUUCCGCAAUGGGCGAAAGCCUGACGGAGCAACGCCGCGUGAGUGAAGAAGGUCUUCGGAUCGUAAAACUCUGUUAUUAGGGAAGAACAAAUGUGUAAGUAACUAUGCACGUCUUGACGGUACCUAAUCAGAAAGCCACGGCUAACUACGUG
rnacentral:rRNA from 1 species